UACGUAGGGGGCGAGCGUUGUCCGGAUUUAUUGGGCGUAAAGAGCUCGUAGGCGGUUCGAUAAGUCGGACGUGAAAUCUCCACGCUCAACGUGGAGGGGCCGUUCGAUACUGUCGUGACUCGAGUCCGGUAGGGGAGUGUGGAAUUCCCGGUGUAGCGGUGAAAUGCGCAGAGAUCGGGAGGAACACCCGUAGCGAAGGCGGCACUCUGGGCCGGUACUGACGCUGAUGCGCGAAAGCUAGGGGAGCAAACGGG
rnacentral:rRNA from 1 species